GGCAAUUUAGGGGUAGGAGAGGAGAAAGAGAAGGAAACAAGGAAGGACGAGGAAGAUGGAAAGUGCUGGUGGGUCCAGUCCUAGCAGCAGAAGGAGGGGUAAGACUGGGACUCCGGAAAGAACCUCUAUUGUGAUGUAAAUUAGUGACUGGGCAGAGAGAAGGGGCCCUGUGGGGAAGGAUGAGGGUGCAGGGCAAGGACAGCAGUAGGAGCUGAAUGCAGCGACUGUAUCAUAGCUGCUGGUUAUGAGGAUCGGAUUUCUUUUUUGCAGAUGUCACAUGCCGGGGUGAGCUGUUAUUAACUAAAAGGAGUCAGGGCUUAGCUGCAAGCAAGGAGGAAUUGCUCUUAAAGUGCUUGGAAGUCACCGAUCUAACCAACAGAUGAAAAAUUUCCUGAGGACAGACCCUCCCCUCUGGAGGCAUCCUUCUCUCAUUGGAAAGAAAAAGACAAAGAGGAGAAGGAAGGCAAUGCGGAGCUCUCCUGGAAGGUACAUUAAAUCAUUAAAUGCCAGCCUGCCUGUUUCACGUA